GGGGAAUCUUCCGCAAUGGGCGCAAGCCUGACGGAGCAAUACCGCGUGAGGGAGGAAGGCUCUUGGGUCGUAAACCUCUUUUAUCAGGGAAGAACACAAUGACGGUACCUGAUGAAUCAGCAUCGGCUAACUCCGUGCCAGCAGCCGCGGUAAUACGGAGGAUGCAAGCGUUAUCCGGAAUUAUUGGGCGUAAAGCGUCCGCAGGUGGUUUUGAAAGUUUGCUGUCAAAGCGCGAGGCUCAACUUCGUACCGGCGGUGAAAACUUCAAGACUAGAGUUUGGUAGGGGUCACGGGAAUUCCCAGUGUAGCGGUGAAAUGCGUAGAUAUUGGGAAGAACACCAGCGGCGAAAGCGCGUGACUGGGCCUGAACUGACACUCAUGGACGAAAGCUAGGGGAGCGAAAGGGAUUAGAUACCCCUGUAGUCCUAGCCGUAAACGAUGACAACUAGGUGUUGCCCGUAUCGACCCGGGCAGUGCCGUAGCCAACGCGUUAAGUUGUC
rnacentral:rRNA from 1 species